rnacentral:lncRNA from 1 species
GCCUCGGCGGCGCCCGGGCCGUCGUCCUAAAACACUAGUAUAAGAAGUACAAAUGGCCCGGGAGUGUGCGGGCACCGGGCCCACGUGACCGCGGCGCCAAGGCCACCGG